rnacentral:rRNA from 1 species
CCUACGCGAGGCAGCAGUGGGGCAUAUUGCACAAUGGGGGAAACCCUGAUGCAGCGACGUCGCGUGAGUGAUGAAGUAUUUCGGUAUGUAAAGCUCUAUCAGCAGGGAAGAAAAUGACGGUACCUGACUAAGAAGCCCCGGCUAACUACGUGCCAGCAGCCGCGGUAAUACGUAGGGGGCAAGCGUUAUCCGGAUUUACUGGGUGUAAAGGGAGCGUAGACGGCGGUGCAAGCCAGAUGUGAAAGCCCGGGGCUCAACCCCGGGACUGUAUUUGGAACUGUGCUGCUAGAGUGUCGGAGAGGCAGGCGGAAGUACUAGUGUAGCGGUGACAGGCGUAGAUAGUAGGAGGAACACCAGUGGCGAAGGCGGCCUGAUGGACGAUGACUGACGUUGAGGCUCGAAAGCGUGGGGAGCAAACAGGAGUAGAUACCCGUGUAGGC